GAGACACCCUUCUGGGGCAAACUUGCUUCAGUGGGGCUUUGGUGCUCACUGAGUCCCCCUGAGUGUGUCCCU
rnacentral:pre_miRNA from 1 species